AGUCUAUUAGCUCAAUAUGGCAGAGCAUUGUGUACCAUUAGCAACACAAAGAUGUAGGUUCGACUCCUACAUAGGCUC
rfam:Beta vulgaris subsp. vulgaris Bvchr8.sca004.con0139.1, whole genome shotgun sequence.